CCUAAACUGAUGAAUGAUUUGACAGAAGAGUUCUUGAAGACUAUAUUCAUCACCCAAGACUGAAAAAGGCUUA